rnacentral:rRNA from 1 species
UACGUAGGGGGCGAGCGUUGUCCGGAUUUAUUGGGCGUAAAGAGCUCGUAGGCGGCUGUUCGAGUCGGGUGUGAAAUCCUGAGGCUUAACCUUGGGUCUGCAUUCGAUACUGGGCGGCUUGAGUCUGGUAGGGGGAUCUGGAAUUCCUGGUGUAGCGGUGGAAUGCGCAGAUAUCAGGAGGAACACCGAUGGCGAAGGCAGCUCGCUGGGACGGUACUGACGCUGAGGCGCGAAAGCGUGGGGAGCGAACAGG